AAGCCUUGAAUUUCCAGUCUACUUAUCGUAGGCGACACUAGUCUGUUGCUGGGACUUUUCUUCGGGAUAACCAGCAGCCACAGUACUGAUGUAGUGUGGUUCACAGAUCAAACACUAGUGGCCUGAGAAGUUCACGACCCCAACUCUCACCGCCCUUUGUGGCAUUAGCCCACGGGCAACGUCCGGUUCGUGUAAUGUGGUUGUGGGAGCUGGGAGCUGCGGGUCACCAUACGUGGUCCGACAAUGAUGGUUAUAGGGCGUGUCUUCGGCAGCUUUGGGGUGUCUGUGGUUUUAUUCACAGCUCUCAUUGUCAGUGCUGGGAUCCUGCCUGGUUUCAAAGGAAGUCUCGAAUGAACUCGCUUAGGUCUUUUGUAGGCUAAGAAUAGAGUCAUUUAAGCAAAACCUCUGGUCCCUAACUGCAUACACAACCUGACAGUUGCAUGGAAGGGUUGGAGCUCUCAGAAUGGAGAACGGUAAUAGGUAUUCCCGAACCCUGUGCUUGAAUGGUGAAUUGGGUGUGAAUCUAGGUUAAAAUAUGACCGGCCCCAUCUGGAGACAGG
rnacentral:rRNA from 1 species